CAAUAGCGUAUAUUAAAGUUGUUGCAGUUAAAAAGCUCGUAGUUGGAUUUCUGGCAGAGUGUCCUUUGGCCAGCAUGACGUUUGGUCCAGAGCGCUCUACCAUCCUUCUGUUAACCUUUACAGGAUUCGUUUUCUGCAUUGGGGCUCAGAUAUUUUACCUUGAGAAAAUUAGAGUGUUUCAAGCAGGCGAUUUGCUGGAAUACAUUAGCAUGGAAUAAUAGAACACGACCUACCUGUCAUUUUAUUGGUAUAUGACAAUAGGUAAUGAUUAACAGGGACAGUUGGGGGCAUUAGUAUUAUAUUGUCAGAGGUGAAAUUCAUUGAUUAGUAUAAGACUAACUUAUGCGAAAGCAUUUGCCAAGGAUGUUUUCAUUAAUCAAGAACGAAAGUUAGGGGAUCAAAGAUGAUCAGAUACCGU
rnacentral:rRNA from 1 species